GGCGUUGUAGCUCAGUGGUACAGCGCUUGUCUUGCAGGUGUGAGGCACUGGGUUCGAGUCCCAGCACCA
rnacentral:tRNA from 1 species